rnacentral:lncRNA from 1 species
CAAUUUUAAAACUAUUUAGCUUAACAUUCACAAAAUUUAAUAUUUAUCAGCAGGAGUAAAAUGUCUCCAAAAAGUAGCACGUGCCUAACUUUACAAAAUAUUUUAAUUCUCACUGGCUUUCCAGAGGACAUAUCCUCUCCAUAAUAAAUCUUUCACCUUUCCUUGAGUACAACUAGCACUUAGGGCCACUUACAAGUCUGUGCAAUACAUGGUUACAUUCAGCUAAUUUUUUUACUCCUUUUUUUCUAUUCCCACAAAAUAAAAUAGUAUAUUUUACACCCACUGAUAAUUCCACUGUUAGGGUCUGGUCUGACAUAAUUCUAUAACAAUUCUUGGCACACCUAUACCAUGGACUCUAUAUGCUUACACUUUAUUUUUUAAAAAGAGUACAUUUAGAGCCACCCAAAAUGGGCUUCUUAAUUAGCUUGCCCAUACCCUGAAUUUACAGAAGAAAAUAUUUUCACCAUGAAAAUGAGUAUUUGGAUUAAUUUAUAGAUAAUCUGACUAAAUAAAAAAUACCUGAAAAUCAACCAAUCUAUUUCAGGGUUAACUGAUAAGAGGAGAGGAUGAAGGAUGAACAUUUUUUGAUAUGGAAAUCUCAAUAAAAACUUAAGGAACCUGAAAAAUCUGUAUAGUUUAGAAAACAUCUAUAUAUAUUAGUGAUACAAAGAAGCAGCCUUUUCUAACAUGGCUCAGAUAUCACUGAAAAAUCAAACAAAAAAGAUUAAUCUAUUUUUAACUAGAGGAAAAAAACUAAACAACAGGAAACUUUUUCCCUAUCCCCAAUUUAGGACAGGUUCCAGACAGGCACUGAAGAAAUAAAAUAGAAAAAUGUAAUAGGCUUGGGAACUAUGUGGAGAUCAAGGCAUGAGGAGAUGGUAAAAUGCAGAAUACAAGCAUUUAUUGAUUUUCAAUUACUAAAAAUUGAAAACAUAGCACUGUCAAAUUAGCAGCUCCUUAUAGACAAAUCAACUAUUCUAUUUUUAGAGAGGAAAGGGCAACCAACAGAGACUCAUUCCAUCUAUAUCAACAAGGCACUAUGGGUUAACUCACUGGUGAACAACAAGAACGAAUCCAAGUCAGCAUGGGUAGUCAGCAAACAUGACACCCACGUGGUCCCAGAAAAAUUCACAUCAAAAGCUUGACUACCAAAAAUCCAGGAAAUCCUUUGAUUUAAAAAAAAAAAUUUAAGAUGCAUAAAAAUUUAUUUCUCAUUCAUUUUGAUUCAAUUCAGUAAUCAUGUAUUAAGAGCUUACUGUCUACUAUAUACAAACCACUGUGCUAAGCAGUGAGUGAAGUCAAAUGCAAGAAUUGUUAGUAAAAUCACUAAAACCUGGCAACUACAUACAGGCAGUAAAAGAGGAAAAAAAAAAAAAGUCAAGAAUGGUACCUAGACUGUAAAUCUGUGUGAUCUCCUUUGGUGAAGAUUAAAGUUUGAAGGAGUGGGUUUUGGACUAUGUUGAAUCUGAAAUUCAAGUAGAGAUUUUUAUUUUGUCACUUUUUUAUAUCUUUGCUAUUUCCUCCAUUAGACUGAGCAACAACUUUCCCACUCUUUUUGUAUCCCUAGCAUUAAGCAUAGUGUCUAUCUGACACAUAGUGUGCACUUAAUAAAUGCUAACUGACUGAUAAUCAGCUAGCCAGUAAUAUAG